rnacentral:ncRNA from 1 species
CAACCUCAACUCAUAUGGGACUACCCCCUGAAUUUAAGCAUAUUAAUUAGGGGAGGAAAAGAAACUAACAAGGAUUUUCUUAGUAGCGGCGAGCGAAAAGAAAACAGUUCAGCACUAAGUCACUUUGUCUAUAUGACAAAUGUGAGAUGCAGUGUAUGGAGCGUCAAUAUUCUAGUAUGAGAAAUUAAUGAUUUAAGUCCUUCUUAAAUGAGGCCAUUUACCCAUAGAGGGUGCCAGGCCCGUAUAACGUUAAUGAUUGCUAGAUGAUGUUUCCAAAGAGUCGUGUUGC